GAUGAACGCUGGCGGCGUGCCUAAUACAUGCAAGUCGAGCGAACGGACGAGAAGCUUGCUUCUCUGAUGUUAGCGGCGGACGGGUGAGUAACACGUGGAUAACCUACCUAUAAGACUGGGAUAACUUCGGGAAACCGGAGCUAAUACCGGAUAAUAUUUUGAACCGCAUGGUUCAAAAGUGAAAGACGGUCUUGCUGUCACUUAUAGAUGGAUCCGCGCUGCAUUAGCUAGUUGGUAAGGUAACGGCUUACCAAGGCAACGAUGCAUAGCCGACCUGAGAGGGUGAUCGGCCACACUGGAACUGAGACACGGUCCAGACUCCUACGGGAGGAAGCAGUAGGGAAUCUUCCACAAUGGGCGAAAGCCUGACGGAGCAACGCCGCGUGAGUGAUGAAGGUCUUCGGAUCGUAAAACUCUGUUAUUAGGGAAGAACAUAUGUGUAAGUAACUGUGCACAUCUUGACGGUACCUAAUCAGAAAGCCACGGCUAACUACGUG
rnacentral:rRNA from 1 species